rnacentral:pre_miRNA from 11 species
GGUCAUUCCGGGGGUCAAAUUGACUCUAGUAGGGAGUCCUCUUUUACAAAGUGACUCCUUAGUAGAGUCACAUUGAUUCCUGAUGACUCACUCACCA